GGCAACGGCACCGAAUGGCUGCAGCUCGUGCACGCGGGCCGCCGCCGCCGCCGCUCACUCACCUGAUGGCCCGGUUGGAGGCUCUCGGUGGGAUUCGGUAAACACAGACUUCAGGUUUGACACAGAGGACCGACUCGUACUCAGCCUGACCCUCGGUCGCCAUCUUGACUUUUACUCAGUCGGUGCACGCCGGCGGUGGUGGUGGUGACGGUCACAGAAGUAAAGGCGAGAGACAAAGAUCCUGAGGCGAAGGUUGGGCGUCCGGCUGAGGAACUGGGACAAACUGAUGGAGCAGUUUACGCAGGGAGACCAGGAGCAGAACCAGGUGAUGGAGUAACUGAGCCUCUUCUCUCCGGUGCCUCCGCAACCCCACAAACCAGGGCACAAGGCUCCCAGGCGCCUCUCACAUGCUUCCCCAUCUUGACCGACAUUACGUACCUCUACAUGGCAGCCGCUGCGAUUGCGGAGGUGUCCAAAGUCAAAGGAUAAGGAGUCUGGCCCCACUCGCCUCUUCACUACAAAGCAGAGGUAAGUCUCAUGUCGGCCCCUUGCCCAGCGCAUGUUCUUGUAAUGGUAGAUGAACU